GUUAUUUUGGCAGAUUAGUGCUUUAAAUUUAGAAUUUAAUUAUGGAUAUUUAUUGUUCAAAUAAUA
rnacentral:tRNA from 1 species